rnacentral:lncRNA from 1 species
AAGAUUUGGAGCUAAGCCCUCCCUUCUCCCUGUGGGGAAAAAAAACCCUCAACCCAGGCUGGGGAAGGGAGGGUUUAUUUGCUCACUCGCCUUUUUUUCCCCCCUAGGUCGUUGUUAUCGGUCAUAGUUUUCAUUGACUACGGAGUCAAACUGUAUUCCUUUCCUGAACUGACAGAGCAUGACUGGCUUGAACAUGGCUGCAGGUUUGCAAGACUUCACACCGAGGAGUCCUUGAUCCAUUCAGAAACAAAGAGAAACUGUUUUAUCGGAGGCGGGGGCGCGGCGCA